rnacentral:rRNA from 1 species
GAAUAUUGGACAAUGGGCGAAAGCCUGAUCCAGCAAUGCCGCGUGAGGUGAUGAAGGCCUUCGGGUUGUAAACCUCUUUCGCCCGGGACGAUAAUGACGGUACCCGCAGAAUAAGCCCCGGCUAACUCCGUG